UGCAUCUGGAGCCUGCGAGGAUGAGAACCUCCGGGGGCAGGAGGUUCGACUCGAGCGAAGCGAGAGAACGUUGCGUCAGCAACGGCCCGCAGGGCGAGCCACGAAGUGGUGAGUCAUCCUCUAUCACCGACCA
rnacentral:sRNA from 2 species